rnacentral:rRNA from 1 species
UACGAAGGGGGCUAGCGUUGCUCGGAAUUACUGGGCGUAAAGGGCGCGUAGGCGGACAGUUUAGUCAGAGGUGAAAGCCCAGGGCUCAACCCUGGAAUUGCCUUUGAUACUGGCUGUCUUGAGUACGGGAGAGGUGUGUGGAACUCCGAGUGUAGAGGUGAAAUUCGUAGAUAUUAGGAAGAACACCAGUGGCGAAGGCGGCUUACUGGUCCGGUACUGACGCUGAGGUGCGAAAGCGUGGGGAGCAAACAGG